AGAGUUUGAUCAUGGCUCAGAUUGAACGCUGGCGGCAGGCCUAACACAUGCAAGUCGAGCGGAUGAAGGGAGCUUGCUCCUGGAUUCAGCGGCGGACGGGUGAGUAAUGCCUAGGAAUCUGCCUGGUAGUGGGGGAUAACGUCCGGAAACGGGCGCUAAUACCGCAUACGUCCUGAGGGAGAAAGUGGGGGAUCUUCGGACCUCACGCUAUCAGAUGAGCCUAGGUCGGAUUAGCUAGUUGGUGGGGUAAAGGCCUACCAAGGCGACGAUCCGUAACUGGUCUGAGAGGAUGAUCAGUCACACUGGAACUGAGACACGGUCCAGACUCCUACGGGAGGCAGCAGUGGGGAAUAUUGGACAAUGGGCGAAAGCCUGAUCCAGCCAUGCCGCGUGUGUGAAGAAGGUCUUCGGAUUGUAAAGCACUUUAAGUUGGGAGGAAGGGCAGUAAGUUAAUACCUUGCUGUUUUGACGUUACCAACAGAAUAAGCACCGGCUAACUUCGUGCCAGCAGCCGCGGUAAUACGAAGGGUGCAAGCGUUAAUCGGAAUUACUGGGCGUAAAGCGCGCGUAGGUGGUUCAGCAAGUUGGAUGUGAAAUCCCCGGGCUCAACCUGGGAACUGCAUCCAAAACUACUGAGCUAGAGUACGGUAGAGGGUGGUGGAAUUUCCUGUGUAGCGGUGAAAUGCGUAGAUAUAGGAAGGAACACCAGUGGCGAAGGCGACCACCUGGACUGAUACUGACACUGAGGUGCGAAAGCGUGGGGAGCAAACAGGAUUAGAUACCCUGGUAGUCCACGCCGUAAACGAUGUCGACUAGCCGUUGGGAUCCUUGAGAUCUUAGUGGCGCAGCUAACGCGAUAAGUCGACCGCCUGGGGAGUACGGCCGCAAGGUUAAAACUCAAAUGAAUUGACGGGGGCCCGCACAAGCGGUGGAGCAUGUGGUUUAAUUCGAAGCAACGCGAAGAACCUUACCUGGCCUUGACAUGCUGAGAACUUUCCAGAGAUGGAUUGGUGCCUUCGGGAACUCAGACACAGGUGCUGCAUGGCUGUUGUCAGCUCGUGUCGUGAGAUAUUGGGUUAAGUCCCGUAACGAGCGCAACCCUUGUCCUUAGUUACCAGCACCUCGGGUGGGCACUCUAAGGAGACUGCCGGUGACAAACCGGAGGAAGGUGGGGAUGACGUCAAGUCAUCAUGGCCCCUUACGGCCAGGGCUACACACGUGCUACAAUGGUCGGUACAAUGGGUUGCCAAGCCGCGAGGUGGAGCUAAUCCCAUAAAACCGAUCGUAGUCCGGAUCGCAGUCUGCAACUCGACUGCGUGAAGUCGGAAUCGCUAGUAAUCGUGAAUCAGAAUGUCACGGUGAAUACGUUCCCGGGCCUUGUACACACCGCCCGUCACACCAUGGGAGUGGGUUGCUCCAGAAGUAGCUAGUCUAACCGCAAGGGGGACGGUUACCACGGAGUGAUUCAUGACUGGGGUGAAGUCGUAACAAGGUAGCCGUAGGGGAACCUGCGGCUG
rnacentral:rRNA from 1 species